CGCGGCCUAUCAGCUUGUUGGUGAGGUAAUGGCUCACCAAGGCGACGACGGGUAGCCGGCCUGAGAGGGCGACCGGCCACACUGGGACUGAGACACGGCCCAGACUCCUACGGGAGGCAGCAGUAGGGAAUAUUGGGCAAUAGGCGCAAGCCUGACCCAGCGACGCCGCGUGAGGGAUGAAGGUCUUCGGAUUGUAAACCUCUUUCAGUAGGGAAGAAGCGAAAGUGACGGUACCUAAAGAAGAAGCACCGGCUAACUAUGUGCCAGCAGCCGCGGUAAUACAUAGGGUGCAAGCGUUGUCCGGAAUUAUUGGGCGUAAAGAGCUCGUAGGUCAUUUGUCGCGUCGAUUGUGAAAAUCUGAGGCUCAACCUCAGACCUGCAGUCGAUACGGGCAAACUAGAGUGUGGUAGGGGAGACUGGAAUUCCUGGUGUAGCGGUGAAAUGCGCAGAUAUCAGGAGGAACACCAAUGGCGAAGGCAGGUCUCUGGGCCAUAACUGACACUGAGGAACGAAAGUGCGGGGAGCGAACAGGAUUAGAUACCCUGGUAGUCCGCACCGUAAACGGUGGGCACUAGUUGUGGGAACCUUCCACGGUUUCCGCGACGCAGCAAACGCAUUAAGUGCCCCGCCUGGGGAGUACG
rnacentral:rRNA from 1 species